rnacentral:rRNA from 1 species
UCCAGACUCCUACGGGAGGCAGCAGUGGGGAAUAUUGGGCAAUGGGCGCAAGCCUGACCCAGCAACGCCGCGUGAAGGAGGAAGGCUUUCGGGUUGUAAACUUCUUUUAAGAGGGAAGAGAAGAAGACGGUACCUCUUGAAUAAGCCACGGCUAACUACGUGCCAGCAGCCGCGGUAAUACGUAGGUGGCAAGCGUUGUCCGGAUUUACUGGGUGUAAAGGGCGUGUAGCCGGGAAGGCAAGUCAGAUGUGAAAUCUGGAGGCUCAACCUCCAAAUUGCAUUUGAAACUGUUUUUCUUGAGUACUGGAGAGGCAGACGGAAUUCCUUGUGUAGCGGUGAAAUGCGUAGAUAUAAGGAGGAACACCAGUGGCGAAGGCGGUCUGCUGGACAGCAACUGACGGUGAGGCGCGAAAGCGUGGGGAGCAAACAGGAUUAGAUACCCUAGUAC